UUAAAUUGUAAUAGAGUUAAUGUUUAUUAUAUAUGUAAUAGCCCAUUUUGCCCAAACUUCAGUCCAGUUUUUUUUUUACAAAACCCAAUGAAACUUAAAUCUAAUUCAGCCCACAAGCCCAAAAACCCAAAAACCCGAAUGAGCCCAAAAACAAAACAGAAGUAGAAAAUUAGAACCCUAGCAGCAAUAGUUUCAGCCGACGCGAGCCCAAUAGCGACCAAGUUCGUCUCCAGCCGCCUUUGCACACCACGCCUCCACGUGUGCCGCUACGUCACUGUACCUGCAAAAUAGCCUAGAAGAAUCUAAAAGCAAAAAAGUAGGAGGAAAAAUAGUUUGUAAAAUAUGAUUUUUGGGAUUAUAAAAACCCUGUUUCUGUAUUCUAAAAGGGGGAAUGAAUAGAAAAGAAAAAACGAAAUCAAGUCUCAAAAAGGUGAUUAAUAUAUAUUUUUUCUUUUUUCUUUAUGUUUUUCUCAUUCAAUUUUUUUCUUUUUCUUUUUUUUUCUCUGUUUUAUUUCAUGGAAUAACAAAAGGGGAAGUGGGGGACUUACCAUAGAUUCGUGGACUUCUCGUCGGCUCAAAUCGCCAUUCUUGGUGGAGCUAUGGCGGAGGAGUGACGGACGGUGGCAUUGAGGCUAGGGUUGAAACCCUAGCAGAGAACAAGAGCAGCAAUUUUUUUUUAGAAACUCAGGCUGCAAAUGUUUUU
rnacentral:lncRNA from 1 species